UGGCUCAGGACGAACGCUGGCGGCGUGCCUAAUACAUGCAAGUCGUACGCUUCUUUUUCCACCGGAGCUUGCUCCACCGGAAAAAGAGGAGUGGCGAACGGGUGAGUAACACGUGGGUAACCUGCCCAUCAGAAGGGGAUAACACUUGGAAACAGGUGCUAAUACCGUAUAACAAUCGAAACCGCAUGGUUUUGAUUUGAAAGGCGCUUUCGGGUGUCGCUGAUGGAUGGACCCGCGGUGCAUUAGCUAGUUGGUGAGGUAACGGCUCACCAAGGCCACGAUGCAUAGCCGACCUGAGAGGGUGAUCGGCCACAUUGGGACUGAGACACGGCCCAAACUCCUACGGGAGGCAGCAGUAGGGAAUCUUCGGCAAUGGACGAAAGUCUGACCGAGCAACGCCGCGUGAGUGAAGAAGGUUUUCGGAUCGUAAAACUCUGUUGUUAGAGAAGAAUAAGGAUGAGAGUAACUGUUCAUCCCUUGACGGUAUCUAACCAGAAAGCCACGGCUAACUACGUGCCAGCAGCCGCGGUAAUACGUAGGUGGCAAGCGUUGUCCGGAUUUACUGGGCGUAAAGCGAGCGCAGGCGGUUUCUUAAGUCUGAUGUGAAAGCCCCCGGCUCAACCGGGGAGGGUCAUUGGAAACUGGGAGACUUGAGUGCAGAAGAGGAGAGUGGAAUUCCAUGUGUAGCGGUGAAAUGCGUAGAUAUAUGGAGGAACACCAGUGGCGAAGGCGGCUCUCUGGUCUGUAACUGACGCUGAGGCUCGAAAGCGUGGGGAGCAAACAGGAUUAGAUACCCUGGUAGUCCACGCCGUAAACGAUG
rnacentral:rRNA from 1 species